ensembl:lncRNA
CGGGGAUUUAAGCGGAUCGACCUGUAGAGCUUCUCAGUGUCUGACACGUCUUUUCCUCUCAGGACUGUCCUCAGUAGACAACUAAACCUCUGCUUCUGGGCAAACGUCACAGCAUCCAGACAAAACGAUACGUGAAGAUGUUUCUAUCAACAGAAAUAUGCCGAUGGCUGGGCUGCAGUCCAGCAGGAUUCCUGAACUCAAUCCCAAAUACGAAAGUGCUCUCGGACAUCUGUUGAUGAAACUGAAGAACUACAGCCACAGUCAAACAGAUGUCCAAGGACCAGAGAAUUCCUGCCCUGAUAAGCUGUCAGGAGCAUUGCCUCGUCAAAUUGUGGUGUGUGCGUGCGUGUGUGUGCGUGCGUGCGUGCGUGUGUGUGUGUGUGUGUGUGUGUGUGUGUGUGUGUG